CCCGCACCCCCCCGCAGCACCCCGCAGCCGGCCGCGAGCCGCGGGGCUGCGGUGCCACCUAGCGGGGUGCUGGCUGCCGCCGGCCGGCCUCGCACCGCCUCGCCUCGGCUUCGCGGGCCCCCCCCGCACCCCGCGUGGGUGAUUUCGGUUACAGCAGGGGCCGUGCGGCCGGCCCGUGGGUGCAGCGGGCGCGGUGCGUGCUCGGGGCGCUGCGUGGUCAGCGCCGGGUGCCCGGGGCAGGUAGAGGGGCCAGGUAAAAGGAGGGCACCCCGGUGGCUGUGCCCCGGCUCAGCGCCUCCAGCCCGUCCCAGUCCGUUCCGCCAGGCCUUUCAAGCAAACAGGGCGAGCUACAAAAGAGGAGCACCCUUUCUGAGGUCAGGGUGGUGAGAAGCGAACCCGCCGCGUUAAAACUCAGAGCCCGGGAUGCCAGCGCCAGGAGUUUUGCCAGUUUCUGUCACCUGCCUUAAAAAUGAGUACCUGGAAAACCUCGCCAUCCCCCAAAACGACAGCAGAAAAGCAGGCAACUCCCAAAGCACGUUAGGGCCGAGAUUAAAUACCACCACCACUCAACACCGAGCGUUUUCCCCAGGUGUUGCGGUGAGGGUUGGCAGGUCCACCAGGCAUUGCCGUAGGUGCCACAUCUCCCACGGCACAUCUCGUCAGCUGAAAAUCCUCCCGCUGGGGUCAGGCGGGGCACUUAGCCCACCUCCAGGGCCAAGUCCUCCUCGGAGGAGGAUUGACUCCUCCGCACCGCUUCUCAACACAUCCCCUUGUUUCUGCAGCCAAAAUAGCGCAGAAACAUCUGCAAUUUCUAUUGGCUUUAUCAAAACUAAGCUUUUAUCUUUCAUUGCUUGAAAAAAGUACCAGUCAUCUGAAAUGUGUGCACACCUGCGAUACCUCAGAGGAAGAAGAGGCAGCUUCUCCAAUGCGGGACGUUUUAUCAUCGGCAGCUGGCAAAUGGUCAAGCUCAGCGGAACGGCUCGGUUGCUUCACGCACGUGAUUCAAGAUGCUGAAGUUAUGGGUGACUUUUAAGUGAUUCACAUUACAAAGCAAUAAACGCAACGAGAUCACCUGGCCCA
rnacentral:lncRNA from 1 species